AGAUAAGCAAGAUUUGGGGGUAGAGAGUUGAGAUGGUGACAUAUCUUUUAUGACUUCCCAAGUUCAUAAAUACAUGCAAGUCAAAUUCAAGCAUUUUUUUUUUUUGUAAGUCAAAUGUACCUAGUGAACAUUUGGCAAUAUUCUGGACUUGUUACCACCUUUUUGUUAGGAGGCACCAACUUCAGGUCAUGGGAAAUCAGAGCAAAGAGAGAACUGGUACCUUCAAAACUCCACACAGCAGACUCAAAGCCUGAAGUCUGAACCUGGAAUAUCACCGAAUGGCAGAAGACCAUCCUGCUCCAGCUACUUAGCUCAGAUGAGAAAACAAAUCCCAUUCUUGGUGACCUCACUUGCUCUCCAUCCACAGUGCCAGGGACAGCUUUGUGACGGAUAAACCCACGUCUGCAUACGCGUGUGUGUAUUUGUAUAUGUCCAUGGGUAUCUUUACCUUAAUCUCACACUCCAACUGAUAAAUUUAACUUUGAGGAAACCAUGUUUUUAUGGCACCAGUGCAAUGGUAUACAUCAUGGAAAAGAAAUUUAGUUGUCUUAAUUCUUCACUCAUUUCCACUAAAAUAAAUAUAGAACAGAUUCCGAAAGCCAAUGUUGAGGGCAGACUUGGUGAAUCCGUGAGCCCAUGGCUGGAAGCCUAAAAUAUUAUUUUGAAUUAACC
rnacentral:lncRNA from 1 species